CCAAUAGCGUAUAUUAAAGUUGUUGCAGUUAAAAAGCUCGUAGUUGAAUUUCGGGAUUUAUCCGUUGGUCGGGCUUUUGGGUCUGUACUGGCGUGAUGGAUUUCUACCUUCUGAAUAACCGGCAUGUCAUUAAUUUGGUGCGCCGGGGAAGCAGGACUGUUACCUUGAAAAAAUUAGAGUGCUUAAAGCAGGCUAUUGCCUGAAUACAUUAGCAUGGAAUAAUGAAAUAGGACGGCAUGGUUCUAUUUUAUUGGUUUCUAGGAUCACCGUAAUGAUUAAUAGGGAUAGUUGGGGGCAUUAGUAUUCAAUUGUCAGAGGUGAAAUUCUUGGAUUUAUUGAAGACUAACUUCUGCGAAAGCAUUUGCCAAGGAUGUUUUCAUUAAUCAAGAACGAAAGUUAGGGGAUCGAAGACGAUCAGAUACCGUCGUAGUCUUAACCAUAAACUAUGCCGACUAGGGAUCGGACGAUGUUAAUUUUUUAAUGACUCGUUCGGCGCCUUACG
rnacentral:rRNA from 1 species